GGCUAACGCUGGCGGCGUGUCUUAGCCAUGCAAGUCGAGCGGACUUAUGGGGUAACUUAUAAGUCAGCGGCGGACGGCGGAGUAACACGUAGCUAACCUACCCUCUGGACGGGGAUAACCUACCGAAAGGUGGGCUAAUACCCGAUGUAGUCAUCCUGUAUAGGGGUGAUGAAAGGUGGGCUUCUGUUUACAAGCUCAUGCUGGAGGAGGGGGCUGCGGCCUAUCAGGUAGUUGGUAGGGUAAUAGCCUACCAAGCCGAUGACGGGUAGCCGGCCUGAGAGGGUGACCGGCCCGAGGGGCACUGAGAUACGGGUCCCACUCCUACGGGAGGCAGCAGGCUAGAAAUUUGGGCAAUGGGCGCAAGCCUGAACCAGCCAUCCCGCGUGCAGGAAGACGGCCCUAUGGGUUGUAAACUGCUUUUCCAGGGAGAGAAACUUACGCACGUGUUGCGUGACUGACGGUACCCUGGGAAUAAGCAUCGGCUAACUCCGUGCCAGCAGCCGCGGUAAUAGUC
rnacentral:rRNA from 1 species